CCUACGGGCGGCAGCAGUGAGGAAUAUUGGUCAAUGGGCGAGAGCCUGAACCAGCCAAGUCGCGUGAGGGAGUACUGCCCUAUGGGUUGUAAACCUCUUUUGUCGGGGAGCAAAAGCCGGACGUGUCCGGCUGUGAGAGUACCCGAAGAAAAAGCAUCGGCUAACUACGUGCCAGCAGCCGCGGUAAUACGGGGGAUGCGAGCGUUAUCCGGAUUUAUUGGGGUUAAAGGGUGCGCAGGCGGAUUUGUAAGUCAGCGGUCAAAUCGUGGGGCUCAACCCCAUCCAGCCGUUGAAACUGGGGAUCUAGAGUGUGCGAGAGGUAUGCGGAAUGCGUGGUGUAGCGGUGAAAUGCAUAGAUAUCACGCAGAACCCCGAUUGCGAAGGCAGCAUACCGGUGCACAACUGACGCUCAGGCACGAAAGCGUGGGUAUCGAACAGGAUUAGAUACCCUUGUAGUC
rnacentral:rRNA from 1 species